rnacentral:rRNA from 1 species
AUUGAACGCUGGCGGCAGGCCUAACACAUGCAAGUCGAGCGAGCGGCGGAGGGGGGUGUAAUGUAUGGGGAAUGCUCGUUAGAGGGGGAUAACUACUGGAAACGGUAGCUAAUAACGCAUACUAUCGGAUAACCCAUAUGGGAUGAGCUAGUAGGUGAGGUAAUGGGUCACCUAGGCGACGAUCCAUAGCUGGUCUGAGAGGAUGAUCAGCCACAAUGGGACGGAGACACGGCCCAGACUCCUACGGAGGCAGCAGUGGGGAAUAUUGCACAAUGGGCGCAAGCCUGAUGCAGCCAUGCCGCGUGUAUGAAGAAGGCCUUAGGGUUGUAAAGUACUUUCAGUAGGGAGGCGUUGCCUACAGAAGAAGCACCGGCUAACUCCGUGCCAGCAGCCGCGGUAAUUC